rnacentral:pre_miRNA from 1 species
UAUAUACUCCCUCCGUCCACAAAAUUCUUGUCUUAGAUUUUGUCUAAAUAUGGAUGUAUCAAGUCACAUUUUAGUAUUAGAUACAUCUGUAUCUAGACUAAUCUAAGACAAGAAUUUUAGGAUUGGGUGGGGGGGGGGUGUU